rnacentral:lncRNA from 1 species
GAUACGAUGAACAUCACUCAAAAGCAGAGAAUUUCAGUGGAAGAGAUAGGUGUCCUCCCGGUCUUCAAUAUUUUUGCCUCUGUUCUUGGUGUUCCUGUUGGUGCCGCCUCCUCUGUUUUUCUUUGUUAUGUUCAGGGUUUCUAAGUGUCUCCCCUCCUCUGUUUUUCUGACCCGUAACUCUUCUUUUAUAUUGUGGCUUUUCUACCCCUGCAGUAAUGAGGAAAAUUUCCUUUUCUGCAUUGAUUUCUCCUACCCAGACAUUGCGGGCCAGAUUUGAGUUAGGAAACGUGCGAAUUCAAAGAUCUUUAUUUCUGGAGAAAUUGUAGAGAAUCAAAUUUUCUUUCCAACGACACUGAUUUUGCAAUUUUUGGACCUCUGAGCGUUGAGAUAUGGGCUAUAAACCGAAACAGUCUUUGCAGUGCAGGAAUUUCGGGCUGGUUCAAUCCUUGUUUUUCAACUCGCUUUUUGGGCUUCGAAACAACAAAACUGAGUUAUAUGUCCUUCAUAUGUUUUGUAGACCUUCAUCUCAGCUAUUUGAAAAUGGUUACGAACAUCCGGAACUAAAUUGUAUAGCUUCUUUGCAGCACAUAAUGAAUCACUGUUCAGUUUCACUGCCCGGCUCUGCCUGUUCAGUAACCUAAGAUCUGAAAACACAUUAAUUUCCCACGAGGUCAAUAGUUCAAAAAGAGAUUCAAAAUUCUAAUUGUCUUGUGCAACAUAUCCAAAAUAUUUAAAAAUCAAGCAUGAAUAGCAGAAAAUAUACAUGCUAAAAAUUCCCUUAUCAAAUACCCCCAAACUUGAAUGUUUGCUUGUCCUCAAGCAAAAAGGAAACCAUGAAAGCAUAGUGCUAAAAGCUCAUGAUAAGUUCAACUUUGACAUUUAAAAGGCUCCAUCAUGCAGCAUUCACUUCUUGACUUAGCUCAUAGACAAUAUUAGAUAAUGGAAAACUAAGCAUUCCUACUCUCUGUGCAGACCGUUGUACAAACUUCCAACUCAUCCAUGUGUUUCAUGUGUUUAGCAUCCUUGAACCGUGCACAGUCAUUCUGCCAUUAUUUUUUUUUUUUUGAACAAGGUAGCCAACUUUAGGAGUAAUAACACACUUUUACUUGUCUUUUGACAAGGGUGAUUUUUUUAAAUUUAUCACUUGUCUUUUGACGCGAAUACAAACAUUUGUGAUGAAUGCACCCGGUUACUUAACAGGUCAUAAGCUUAAAAUGCUUUGCAUACUCAUAUUUUAAAGCUGCCGUUUGACGUAAAAGUAAACAUUUGUGAUGAAUACUCCUAGUUACUAAGCAACUCAAAACAUUGGAGUAGAUACACAUCAUAUACUUAUUCAUUCACUUUCAUACUCAUUAUCACUCCUUGUUUUGAUAUUUUUCUUAGAGGGUAAUAACAAAAAAGAACAGCACACUUAUCUCUUAUGCAUAACUACACAAUUCACCUGACUAUGCUGGAAAAGUGUACUUCAAUAAUUCAACAGAAAAUAGUCAUGCUUAAUCCAACUUUAUAAGAUAUUAUCCACUCUAAGCCUAGGAAUAUCAUGGAUACAUCAUGAAGCACCUAAAAAUGUCAAAGUUGGUCUUAAAUGCAUAUCACUUUUCACCCUCUGUUUUCAUGGUUCCAGUGUGCAGUGUUCUUUCAUAGUCAAAGCAUGCAAUGUCUCCCCCAAACUUAAAUAUCACAGUCCUCAAUGGAAAAACAAAGAAUAGAAAGGCUUACGAAUACUUCCUUUUGACUAUGUGGGUGUGAGUUUGUUGCUGCUCCUGGUUAUUUGCUUGUAUGAUCAAUCCCUGCACAACUCAAUAAAACAAAUAAGGUUUUUUUUUUUUUUGGGUUGCCUCCCAAUCAGUGCUUAGUUAUAGUCAUUAGCUUGACUUUUCCAUUUAGCUAAGAUGAAGUGAGAGGGAUAUCAUCCCUUUUUCCAAUAGACUCUCCAUUCCUAUAAUGCUUCAGACGCUGCCCAUUCACUGUGAAUGUUCCCUUUUCAUCAUGAGUGACCUCUACUGCUCCAUAAGGAAAUACUUUCACAACCGUAAAUGGUCCUGACCACCGUGAUUUGAGCUUACCAGGAAACAAGCGGAGCCGUGAAUUGAAAAGUAAUACCUGCUGACCAGGGACAAACUCCUUGCGUACAAUGUGUUUGUCAUGCCAUGCCUUGGUUCUUUCAUUGUAUAUCUUGGCAUUCUCAUAGGACUCAUUGCGAAAUUCAUCCAUCUCAUUAAGUUGCAGGAUUCGUUUCUCACCUGCAACCUGCAGAUCUAUGUUCAGUUGUUUCAUUGCCCAGUAUGCCUUAUGCUCUAAUUCAACAGGAAGAUGGCAUGCUUUUCCAAAAACUAAUCGAUACGGAGACAUUCCCAAUGGUGUUUUUAAUGCUGUCCGAUAUGCCCACAAUGCAUCAUCUAGCUUUCGUGCCCAAUCUUUCCGAGAAUUACUUACUGUUUUCUCUAAGAUUUGCUUCACCUCUCUAUUUGAUACCUCUGUUUGGCCAUUUGUCUGAGGAUGAUAAGCCAAUGCUCGUUUGUGUCUGACUCCAUACUUAGAUAGCAGUGCUUCAGACUGCUUGUUGCAAAAAUGAGUUCCUUCAUCACUGAUGAUGGCUCGAGGAGUACCAAAUCUGGUAAAGAUGUUCUUUCGUAGAAAAUUAAGUACCACCUUGCCAUCAUUUGUAGGCGUUGCAAUUGCCUCGAUCCACUUUGAUACAUAAUCCACUACUAAGAGAAUGUAUUUGUUGUUAUAUGAUGAAGGAAAAGGUCCCAUGAAAUCGAUGCCCCAAACAUCAAAUAAUUCAACUUCUAAGAUAUUCUGCAGUGGCAUUUCAUUUCGUCGAGAUAUAUUCCCAGUAUGCUGACAUCUAUCACAAGCAGUAACAAAAGCAUGAGCAUCUUUAAACAUAGUGGGCCAAUAAAAACCUGACUGCAGAACUUUGGCUGCAGUGCGCUGUGUUCCAAAGUGCCCCCCAUAUUCAAGUGUGUGGCAAUGCUUCAAUAUGUUUGUCAUUUCUUCUUCUGGAACGCACCUCCUGAUGACUUGAUCUGCACAAUGCCGAUAGAGUAUCGGCUCCUCCCAGAAGUAGUGUUUGACUUCAGAAAAAAAUUUCUUCUUUUGCUGGUAAGAAAAAUCUGGCGGUAUGAUUUUACCUGCAAGAAAGUUGACAUAAUCUGCAUACCAAGGAAAGAAUUUGUUAGUGGAAAUUGCUAAGAGUCUUUCAUCAGGAAAACAUUCAUUUAUAACCGUGAAUUUAGGCUCCAGCUGCUGUGUCAAUUCCAGCCUUGAAAGAUGAUUUGCCACCACGUUCUCAGUCCCCUUUUUAUCUUUAAUUUCUACAUCAAAUUCUUGCAGUAAUAGGAUCCAACAGAUGAGUCUAGGCUUGGCAUCUUUCUUAGACACUAGGUGUCUAAUUGCAGCAUGAUCAGUAUACACCAGCACUUUGUUUCCCAUCAGGUAAGGCCGAAACUUAUCAAAUGCAUAGACCACAGCAAGCAACUCUUUCUCGGUUGUGGCAUAAUUGAGCUGGGCAUCGUUGAGUGUUCUGCUGGCAUAGUAUAUGGUGUGAAACACAUUAUUUUUCCGUUGCCCCAGUACUGCUCCAACUGCAUAAUCACUUGCAUCACACAUAAGCUCAAAUGGUUUCUCCCAAUCCGGUGCAAUUACAAUAGGAGCUGUCACUAACUUCUUUUUCAACAACAUAAAGGCUGUCUUGCAUUCCUCAUCAAACUGAAACUUUGUGUCUUUUAGCAGCAGACUGCAUAGCGGUUUGGAUAUUUUAGAGAAGUCUUUGAUGAACCUCCUAUAAAAUCCCGCAUGACCAAGGAAACUCCUAACCCCUUUUACUGUAGUUGGUGGCAAAAGCUUAUCUAUUGCUUCAAUUUUAGCUAUGUCUACUUCUAUUCCUUUUUCUGAAAUCCGGUGCCCCAAUACUAUACCUUCCUUUACCAUGAAGUGACAUUUUUCCCAGUUCAAUAUCAAGUUUGUCUUUUCACAACGCUCCAAAACCAACGCCAACUUUGCAAGGCAGUCAUCAAAAGAAGUUCCAAAUACAGAAAAGUCAUCCAUGAAGAUCUCAAUGAUUUGCUCCACCAUAUCUGAAAAAAUAGCCAUCAUGCACCUCUGAAAGGUAGCUGGUGCAUUACACAACCCAAAAGGCAUUCUUCUGAAAGCAAAAGUACCAUAAGGGCAUGUGAAAGUGGUCUUCUCCUGGUCCUCAGGUGCGAUGGCUAUUUGGUUGUAUCCUGAAUAGCCAUCUAGGAAACAGUAGUAUUCAUGCCCAGCUAACCUGUCCAGCAUCUGAUCAAUGAAUGGUAGGGGGAAGUGAUCUUUGUGAGUUGCCUUGUUGAGCUUUCAAUAAUCCAUGCAAAUCCUCCAUCCAGUUACCGGUCUAGUAGGUAUCAAGUUGUUGUUUGCAUCCUUUACCACUGUCAUUCCUCCUUUCUUUGGCACAACUUGAACUGGGCUCACCCAUGAGCUGUCAGAGAUUGGAUAAAUAACACCAGCAUCUAACCAUUUCAGAACUUCUUUUCGGACUACCUCUUUCAUGGUCGGGUUAAGCCUUCUCUGAUGUUCUACUGUUGGCUUGACUUCAUCCUCCAACAGAAUUUUAUGCAUGCAAAUAGAGGGACUGAUGCCUUUGAUAUCUGCCAAUACCCACCCGAGAGCUGCCUUAUGUUUUCUCAACACCCUCAACAAUUUUUCUUCCUCUGUUUUGGUCAGCUUUGCAGAGACUAUCACAGGAUAGGUGGAAGCUUCUCCAAGAUAUGCAUACCAAAGGUGUUCUGGCAGAGGUUGCAAUUCCAGAACCGGUGCUUGUUCACUGGUUGAUUUUAUUUUUGGUGCUGGUUGUCCCAAAUCUUCAAAGUAUCUUCUGCGGUUAGGUUCAAAAGAGUCCAUCCAACAUGUAUAUUUUGCUAUUUCAGCAUCCUCUUCCAAUACAUUAUUUACCAAACAUGCUUCCAACGGGUCAGUUGGAAGCUUGACUUUGUCAUUAAUUAAAGAGUCCACCACUUAAAUGCUGAAGCAACUCUCCCCAAUAUCUGGCUGUUUGAUGGCUUUGAACACAUUGAAAAUCACCUCCUCUUCAUUCACCCUUAACCGCAGCUCCCCUUUCUUCACAUCAAUUAAGGCACCUCCAGUGGCCAAGAAUGGCCGGCCAAGCAAGAUAGGAAUCUCAUUAUCCUCCUCCAUAUCCAGAAUGAUGAAGUUUGCUGGAAAGAUGAACUUGCCCACUUUCACCAGUACGUCUUCAAUUAUUCCCCUUGGAUGCUUCAAUGACCUGUCAGCUAGCUGUAGUGUUACUGUGGUUGGCCUUGCUUCACCUAAACCAAGCUUCUUAAAAAUAGAUAAAGGCAUGAGAUUAAUACUUGCACCUAAAUCACAUAAAGCUUUUUCAAAUAUAGAAUUUCCAAUGGAACAUGGUAUAGUAAAACUCCCUGGAUCCUUAAGUUUAGGAGGCAGUUUCUUCUGUAAAAUGGCACUGCAUUCCUCAGUAAGAGCAACAGUCUCAUAUUCCUCUAGCUUUCUUUUGUUUGAGAGGAUGUCCUUCAAAAAUUUCACAUAGCUUGGCAUUUGUUCAAGAGCAUCUGCAAAAGGAAUGUUAAUCUGCAAUUUUUUAAACACAUCAAGAAAUUUAGAAAAUUGCUUAUCAAGUUUAUUCUUCUUGAGACGUUGUGGAAAUGGAAUUCUCUGCAUUAUUUCUUGCGUUGGUUCUGGCAGAGGAUCAGAUUUUUUCAUAUUCUGAAGUGGUUUGGCCACUUGCUCCUCCUCUUCUCUUCCUGCACUCUUGUUUCCAGCGGUCUGCUCCACUUCUUUUCCACUUCUUAAAGUUAUGGCCUUGCAUUGCUCCUUAGGAUUAAUUUCAGUUGUGCUUAGUAGAGUUCCUUGUUGUCUACCCGUGAGCAUGUUGGCUAACUGACCAACUUGAACCUCCAAAUUUCAAAUAGAAGCUGCUUGGUUCUGCAGAUUAGUAUUUGUUUCAGUCAUGAAUCUGCUGGUGUUGUUUGCUAAUUGUGUCAUAGCUUCUUCAAGUUUAGAUUUCUCUUUCAUGUGCUCACUUGAAGAUGGCAUAGCUGGAUUCUUCAUGACAGUUUGAUUGUUCCAUGAGAAAUUAGGAUGAUUUCUCCAACCGGGAUUAUAUGUUGCACUGUAGGGGUUAAUCUGCCGGCUGUAGUUUGACACAAAAUGAGCAUGCUCUGCUUGAGAGAACGGGUUCCCAACCUGACACUCUUCACUUGUGUGAUUUCCAUGGCAAAAAUCACACGUUGUAUGGAUGGCAUUUGCUAACAGUUGAGUGGUUUUCAGUUGCUGAGUUAGUGAAUGGACUUGAGCUGUUAAUGCCGUGAUUGCAUCAAUUUCGUGCACCCCAACAGUCUUCUUCUGUAUGCUUCUUUCAUUUGGCCAUUGGUAAUUGUUCAUAGCCAUUUCUUCCAAUAAGUUGUAAGCAUCAUCCUGUGACUUACUCAUAAAAGCUCCUCCUGAAGCUGCAUCAAUUAGUGUUCUUGUGGAGGCAUUCAAUCCAUUGUAAAAAUUCUGCACCUGCAUCCACUUCGGUAGUCCAUGGUGGGGACAUCGCCUGAGCAAAUCCUUGUAUCUCUCCCAUGCCUCAUACAAUGGUUCACUCUCAAGUUGGGCAAAGUUAGCUAUCUCAAUGCGCAUUUUUGCUGUCUUGGCUGGUUGAAAAAAUUUAGCAAGGAAUUUCUGAGCUAAAUUUUCCCAGCUGAUAACUGAAUCUGCAGGCAUGGAGUUUAACCAGUUCUUCGUUCUAUCUCGCAGAGAAAAUGGAAACAGUCUGAGACGAAUGGCAUCAUCAGUAACGCCAUUAUGCUUAAAUGUGUCGCAAAUUUCCAAGAAACUUGCAAUAUGGGCGUUAGGAUCAUCACUUGGCAACCCAUAAAACUGAAUUGAGGUCUGAAUCAUUUGCAGUAUUGCUGGUUUGAUCUCAAAAUUAUUGGCCUCAAUCCUUGGUUUCCUGAUAACAGAACGGAUUCCUGUCACCUGUGGGAGAGCAAAAUCUCUCAAUGCCCGUGUGUCUUGCUCAGGAUUUUCAUUGUUUGCCAUGAAGCCUGAACUGUUUUGAAUUUCUCGCGUUUUCUUUCUUAAUCCCCUUGCAGUUUUCUCAAUCUCAGGAUUAUAAGGUAGCAACGGAUGGUUUUUGUUGCUUCUCAUGCACUAGACAACACACCUAAAGAGCUGAAGACAAAAGGCAAUCAAAUUAGAUCAAAUUUAAUUUAUAUUGAUAUUAUUAGUAAUUUUAUCUAAAAUCCCCGGCAACGGCGCCAAAAACUUGUUGGUUAAUUUCGCAAGUGCACGAAUCGUAACAAGUAAUAAAGUGAUAAGUAGAGUAUCGUCCCACGAGGAUUUGUAAAAAUUACUACUAAUUACCAAAGUCUUUUAAAUUAUGAUCUAUUUGAGGAAUCGAAUGAGAUAGUUUAUGAAACAAAAAUUAAUGAUUAAAAAAAAAACAAACAACCAAAUGAUUAAAUAUUAAUUAAUUAAAUUGUACUGGUUCUAGGAUUUAUGACUUACCGUAACUAUGCCUAUGUGAACUUUCUCGAUUAAAUUAAUUACUCCUAAUGUUGAUAAUCAGGUUUUCCUAAUGUAAAUAUUAAUCUCUCUCGAGCAUCAAUAAAUUAUUUCGACAAACAAAUUUCAUAUACUCUACGAAAGUUCUGAACUUGUCGAAAUUAAUUAAAUACUGUAAAACCUGUAACGAUUACAAAAGUUCCUAGGAUAUCUCUAUCCUAUAGAUUUCUUAAGGUAUUUCAAACAAUAGCUAAAACAAUUAUCACUUCUCAGUUUCAAAUUGAAUUCUAAAUCAUGCAGAUGUUGGCCAAACACACGCAAGCAUUACACAUAGAAUGAAAUACUCAACAUCUUAAUGUAAUAAUUCAAUCGAAGAAAUUGUUCACAUAUUCAUAGUAAGGUUACAUCAAAAAUCCCAGAAUAAAAGUCUACUCCAUAGUUAAAUCAAAGAGAAACAAACUUGAUACGAUGAACAUCACUCAAAAGCAGAGAAUUUCAGUGGAAGAGAUAGGUGUCCUCCCGGUCUUCAAUAUUUUUGCCUCUGUUCUUGGUGUUCCUGUUGGUGCCGCCUCCUCUGUUUUUCUUUGCUAUGUUCAGGGUUUCUAAGUGUCUCCCCUCCUCUGUUUUUCUGACCCGUAACUCUUCUUUUAUAUUGUGGCUUUUCUACCCCUGCAGUAAUGAGGAAAAUUUCCUUUUCUGCAUUGAUUUCUCCUACACAGACAUUGCGGGCCAGAUUUGAGGUAGGAAACGUGCGAAUUCAAAGAUCUCUAUUUCUGGAGAAAUUGUAGAGAAUCAAAUUUUCUUUCCAACGACACUGAUC